ACAAUACCAAUGAUAAGUAAUUGGAUUACAUUUGAUAUUCUUAAUAUGAUGUAUUUAUCUAUUUAAAUUUUUUUACUCACAAUUUAAAUUAAUUUUUCAUUUUAAUUGUGUGCAUUUUGCAUAUGUAUUGUUAUUAUUAGUUUCAAAUCAUAUAUUUUAUUAUUUAUUUUAUAUUAUUUUCAAACACAGACUUAUAUACCAAAUAUGCAAUUUCUACCCUCAUAAUAUUUUUAGUAUUUAUAUAAAAAAAAAAGAUGCUAAAUAAUUCAUAUUUGCAUAUAGGUGAAUAUCAGCACUAGUUGGCUUUGACUUUUAAGUUUAUUGGGAUAUGAGAUCUUCUUAACAUGGUUCAUACAUAUAAGUAAGAUGUAAUUGAAGUUCCGUGAAUGAGUUGCAGGCAGAAGUUACCAGGAGCUUGAUGUUUUGCUAAUUGUGUCAAUUGAGGCCGGUGACCACUUUCGAAGUACCAUAAAUUGCCAUAGAAGCAGCGCACAAAACUAUACCAGGGGGACCACCAAGAGAAGCAGCAACAGCAGCAGUAGCAAGACUACCUUUUUCAAGAAAGCCUACAAUCUGGUAACCAUCGGCACAGCCUGUUUUGCAAUACACAGCGAAGUUCUCACAGUUGUUAUUAAACAUAUCGUAGUCGCCAAAGCUUGCCCCUUCAACGAAAUAAGUUGCUUUGUUAAUAACUUCAUGGGGAGGCUUGGAAUAGUGUGGGCAGCAAGUACCACGUUUUCUGAAACGGAAUUUAUUAAGGGGAACUCCAUAGUCAUAGAUCCGGGGCUUUUCACCACGAAGGAAACAAUCUAUGCAUACUUUUGCUAUUUCACCAUUUU